AUUAAUUACAUCAUAUUACAUCAUCUUGAAACCAUUCAAUAUUUAUUCGAAACGUUUUUUGAUAUUUCUAAAAACAAACGAUAUUCUAGAUGAUGAAUUUAAAUGAAAGAUUUAAAAUAUCGAACUUUAUGUGGACGUAACACUGCUUACAUUCGUUGCUUCGAGGACGCUACUUCAUCUAACAUUUGAACGUUCCCUCUACAAUCGUGUUCUUUUGCAAUACUCCAUGGUAUUUUAUUCUCAGUACCCCCUUUUCUCUACAAUGAGCUCUUUUGUACCCGUUACUGUAUCGCCUUUUAUCAUUCUUGUUACGUUUUUCAUGUUUCUUACUCAACUGUAGUAAUGAGCAUUCAAUGAAACUCCAGGAUUUUAAAUCGUGCUUUAAAACUUCAAAUGCAAGACGAAUAUAAUAGAAACUUAAUCAUGGUUUGUGCAAAAUUAAAAAAAAAUAAAGAAUGAAAUAAAUUACCGACAAUAUAUCGUAUAAUAUACAUAAACAGAAAGAUUUGAAAUGAAUAAAAUAUUAUUUUUCGCAAAUAUUAUUUUCUCUUUCAUUCAACGUUUUAUUUUCGAGACAGCAU